GAUGAACGCUGGCGGCGUGCCUAAUACAUGCAAGUCGAGCGAACAGAUGAGGAGCUUGCUCCUCUGACGUUAGCGGCGGACGGGUGAGUAACACGUGGAUAACCUACCUAUAAGACUGGGAUAACUACGGGAAACCGGAGCUAAUACCGGAUAAUAUAUUGAACCGCAUGGUUCAAUAGUGAAAGACGGUUUUGCUGUCACUUAUAGAUGGAUCCGCGCCGCAUUAGCUAGUUGGUAAGGUAACGGCUUACCAAGGCAACGAUGCGUAGCCGACCUGAGAGGGUGAUCGGCCACACUGGAACUGAGACACGGUCCAGACUGCUACGGGAGGCAGCAGUAGGGAAUCUUCCGCAAUGGGCGAAAGCCUGACGGAGCAACGCCGCGUGAGUGAUGAAGGUCUUCGGAUCGUAAAACUCUGUUAUUAGGGAAGAACAAAUGUGUAAGUAACUAUGCACGUCUUGACGGUACCUAAUCAGAAAGCCACGGCUAACUACGUG
rnacentral:rRNA from 1 species